UACAGGGGGGGCAAGCGUUGUUCGGAAUUACUGGGCGUAAAGGGCCAGUAGGCGGCCAACUAAGUCCGACGUGAAAUCCCCAGGCUUAACCUGGGAACUGCGUCGGAUACUGGAUGGCUUGAAUUCGGGAGAGGGAUGCAGAAUUCCAGGUGUAGCGGUGAAAUGCGUAGAUAUCUGGAGGAAUACCGGUGACGAAGGCGGCAUCCUGGACCGACAUUGACGCUGAACGGCGAAAGCUAGGGGAGCAAACGGG
rnacentral:rRNA from 1 species